UACGUAGGGUGCAAGCGUUAAUCGGAAUUACCGGGCGUAAAGCGUGCGCAGGCGGCUUUGCAAGACAGAUGUGAAAUCCCCGGGCUCAACCUGGGAACUGCAUUUGUGACUGCAUGGCUAGAGUGCGGCAGAGGGGGAUGGAAUUCCGCGUGUAGCAGUGAAAUGCGUAGAUAUGCGGAGGAACACCGAUGGCGAGGGCAAUCCCCUGGGCCUGCACUGACGCUCAUGCACGAAAGCGUGGGGAGCAAACAGG
rnacentral:rRNA from 1 species